CCUCACUAGAGCCUCCAUCAGAGCAUGGCUGUCCUGGUGCUGCUCCUCUGUCUGGUGACAUUUCCAGGCUGUGCCCUGUCUCAAGAGCAGCUGAAGGAGUCAGGACCUGACCUGGUGCAGCCCUCACAGACCCUGUCUCUCACCUGCACUGUCUCUGGGUUCUCAUUAAGCAGCUAUGGUGUACAUUGGUUUCGCAAGCCUCCAAGAAAGGGCCUGGAGUGGUUAGGAGGAGUAUGGUCUGGUGGAGGCAUAUACUAUAGUUCAGUUCUCAGUUCCAGACUCAGCAUCACCAGGGACACCUACAAUAGCCAAGUUUUCUUUAAAAUGAGCAGUGUGCAAAGUGAAGACACGGCCAUGUACUACUGUGCCAGAUACACAGUGAAAAAAGUCCAGUAGGACUUGAACAAAAACUUUCCUACAGGAAUGUCAUGACCAGCAGGGGGCGCUGAGG